rnacentral:rRNA from 1 species
AACGAACGCUGGCGGCAUGCCUAACACAUGCAAGUCGAACGGUAACAGGUCUUCGGAUGCUGACGAGUGGCGAACGGGUGAGUAAUACAUCGGAACGUGCCCGAUCGUGGGGGAUAACGCAGCGAAAGCUGUGCUAAUACCGCAUACGAUCUACGGAGGAAAGCGGGGGAUCGCAAGACCUCGCGCGGACGGAGCGGCCGAUGGCAGAUUAGGUAGUUGGUGGGAUAAAAGCUUACCAAGCCGACGAUCCGUAGCUGGUCUGAGAGGACGACCAGCCACACUGGGACUGAGACACGGCCCAGACUCCUACGGGAGGCAGCAGUGGGGAAUUUUGGACAGUGGGCGCAAGCCUGAUCCAGCCAUGCCGCGUGCAGGAUGAAGGCCUUCGGGUUGUAAACUGCUUUUGUACGGAACGAAAAAGUUCUCUCUAAUACGGGGGGUGAAUGACGGUACCGUAAGAAUAAGCACCGGCUAACUACGUGCCAGCAGCCGCCGUAAGAC